ACGGGUGAGUAACACGUAAGGAACCUGCCUCAAGGAUUGGGAUAACUCCGAGAAAUCGGAGCUAAUACCGGAUAGUUCAACGGACCGCAUGGUCCGCUGAUGAAAGGCGCUCCGGCGUCACCUUGAGAUGGCCUUGCGGUGCAUUAGCUAGUUGGUGGGGUAACGGCCCACCAAGGCGACGAUGCAUAGCCGACCUGAGAGGGUGAUCGGCCACACUGGGACUGAGACACGGCCCAGACUCCUACGGGAGGCAGCAGUAGGGAAUCUUCCACAAUGGACGAAAGUCUGAUGGAGCAACGCCGCGUGAGUGAUGAAGGUUUUCGGAUCGUAAAACUCUGCUGUAAGGGAAGAACACGUACGAGAGGGAAUGCUCGUACCUUGACGGUACCUUACGAGAAAGCCACGGCUAACUACGUGCCAGCAGCCGCGGUAAUACGUAGGUGGCAAGCGUUGUCCGGAAUUAUUGGGCGUAAAGCGCGCGCAGGCGGCCUUUUAAGUCUGAUGUGAAAGCCCCCGGCUCAACCGGGGAGGGCCAUUGGAAACUGGAAGGCUUGAGUACAGAAGAGA
rnacentral:rRNA from 1 species